rnacentral:lncRNA from 1 species
ACAUCACAUGUUCUCAUUUAUUUGUGGGAUCUAAAAAUUAAAACAAUUGAACGCAUGGACAUAGAGAGUAGAAGCAUAGUUAUCAGAGGCUGGGAAGGGUAUCGAGGGUCUGGGGGGAAGUGGGGAUGGUUAAUGGGCACAAAAAGAAAUAACCAGAAAGAAUGAACAAGACCUACUAUUUGAUAACACAAUAGGGUGACUAUAGUCAACAAUAACUUAAUUGUACAUUAUAAAAUAACUUAAAGAGUAUAAUUGGAUUGUUUGUAACUCAAAGGAUAAGUGCUUGAGGGGAUACAUACCCCAUUCUCCAUGAGGUGCUUAUUUCACAUUGCAUGCCUGCAUCAAAACAUCUCAUGUACUCCAUAAAUAUAUAUACACCCACUAUGUGUUCACAAUAAUUAAAAAUUUUAAAAAUUUAAGAAAAUAAAUAGAAAGGUUUUCUGGUUGACCAGUUCCUACAAAGACAGGAAGAACUUAAGAUAAGUAAAAAGGAGAGAAAGUGACUGUGGAGAAGUUUCAAUAAACCAAGUCCAGAGUGAAUUCAAAUCAACUGCACCCACUGGUGAUAGGGUACCAGGAAGCAGCAGAGGAUGACUGCUUAUUUACACAACUCAACAAGAAGGCUCAGAAGAAGAAACUGAGAUCCCUGGAAGGACAAGAGGAACAGAUCUGAGACUGGUUCACAGGGAAGAGGUUGAAGCUAAUGCAUACAUGGAUCAAGAUAGAGGUUAGAGCACCAGGUUUGGGAAGAACAAAGACUAAGCUAGCUCAAAUGAUGACUCCCAGCAUUAAGGUAAACAGAAAACAUUUCUAGAACCCUUGCUAUACAUGAGUAAUUUAGAUUAUUGUUCCUCUCUCCUUCUUACUGUAGGCAAGGUAUACUUCCUAGUCCCAUCAAUCCGAGUUUUGGCCGUGUGACUUGCUUUGGCCAGUGGGAUAAAAGCAAAUGUUGUUGUGAAUGAAAGUUUGACAUGUGCUUGUUUGCUUGGGCUUGCCCUCUUGAGCUUCUUCCUUUUGCUCUAUAAAGAAUAAGUGUUGGGUAGUGGCUGGUCCAAGAAACAGGAGAGAUAUGUAGAACAAGCCUUCACCAAUCCACAGGGUUAGAGGCAAGCCCAGCCUAGGUCAGCCAAACUAUAGCCAACCCGUAUUUCAUCCUGGGUACGUCUUGUCUCCAUGGCUAGACUGCAGACUUCUCAAAGGCAGAUUCCUUGCUUCUUAUCCUUUGGGCACCCACACUGUGUUGGGCCAGUUCCACAUGGCUGAGGAGGUCUCACAAUCAUGGUGGAAGGCCAAAGAACAGCGAAGUCACAUGCUACACAGCGGCAGGCAAGAGAG